CCCCUCUCAGGGUCGUAUCUGGAGAGUUUCCAGUACUCUACCACUCUCAGCUACAGGAGGGAGAGUCAAGCAGAGGCAUGCCCACUCCAUUCCUAGCUUGGGCAGUGGCUAGCGAGUGGAAGGCAAUCUGCUACAAGU
rfam:Ornithorhynchus anatinus chromosome 7, whole genome shotgun sequence.